UUCUUGCUUAAUCAUUUUGAUAUUUUUAUGAAGAUCUUUGCCUGCUUAAAUUGUAUUAGUAUCUACUUUCAUUCAGCUUUAUAGAAGUCUAGUCCUUAUGCACUAUGGCACUCACCCAUUACUUAAAGUUGUUCCCUUGAGCUGAUCCUCUUGACCUGUGGAAAACAUUAGAAAGGGAUGGACGAUUUUUUCUCGACACACCAGAUUUGUGGUGGGGGAUGGUUCCAGGAUUAGCUUCUAGCAUGAUAUUUGAUGUGGAGAUAAGGCUCUUACAUAAGAUAUUGUGGAUUCUGUUUUCCCCGUUCACUCCUAUAAUGUCACCGCCAAUCAGAAGAACAAUUCUUUCCCCUGGAAGAAAAUUUGGGGCAAGUCCCCUUUAAAGGCUUUUUUUUAUGGCCAGCCUUAUUGGGAAAAGUGGUGAAACAGUGGACCAUUUGUUGCUUCAUUGUGAGGUUGCCAGCGGUCUGUGGGAUGAUUUCUCCAAUAGAGUGGGACUUACAUGGGUUAUGCCUGGGAGGGCAGCUGCUAUCCUCGCCAGCUGGAGUCUAUAUGGUGUUCCACAAAUUGUAGCAAUUUAGAAGAUGAUUUUCAUAUGGCUUCUGUAGUGUAUUUGGAGGGAAAGAAAUAAUCUGAGUUCUGAAGAUAAGGAAUGUUCCGUGGAGGAGCUUAGAAUCCUCUUUUUCAACAUGCUAUUUCUUUGGACAAUGGCUAUAAAUUUUAAUGGGUUCAAUGUUUAU